rnacentral:rRNA from 1 species
UACAGAGGGGGCAAGCGUUAUUCGGAAUUACUGGGCGUAAAGCGCACGUAGGCGGCUUUUUAAGUCAGGGGUGAAAUCCCGGGGCUCAACCCCGGAACUGCCCUUGAAACUGGAGAGCUAGAAUCUUGGAGAGGCGAGUGGAAUUCCGAGUGUAGAGGUGAAAUUCGUAGAUAUUCGGAAGAACACCAGUGGCGAAGGCGACUCGCUGGACAAGUAUUGACGCUGAGGUGACGAAAGCGUGGGGAGCAAACAGG